GUGUAGGUAGUUCAGUGGUACAAUGUUUGCCAGCUAAGCAGAUAGUCCGAGUUCGACUCCCAACCGACACA
rnacentral:tRNA from 1 species